GAUUGAACCCCCACAUUUGAGUAAAAACACACAACCCUUUCACUAUUUAGGAGAUGUUCCUGCUUGGAUACCGGAACGUUCUUCUGGUUAAUGCGCGUUUGUAAAAUGACACGUGGGUUCUGAUUCUCAAAAUUAGCUUGAAUAUGUAAAUAAAACAAUUACGCACUACUAUAAAAAUAUAGUUUUAAUAGAUCAUUGUUUCUCCAUGUCAAAAGUACGAAGAAGCCUUAUAUUGUUACGUAUUUUAUUAAAAAAGAAAAAAAAUAGUUUUGAUUAAAACGGUACAAAGACGUUUUUGUUGAGGAACAAUUUGUUUUCCAUGUUUUAAACAAAACGCAAGGCACUUAUUUGCUGUUGUAAUAACAAACUAUAUCCAUACAGACAUGAUCAAUAACUAAAUAACAUCUGAUACAACAGACUAUAAAGAGAAGUCAACAGAGCACAUGUUGGUUUGGUGUUGAUUUAUGCAACAGGGAAACAAAGUUAUUCAAAAAAAGAAAAAAACAAGGAGGAUAAUUAUCCAUAGUGUAAAAGUUUUUGUUCCCAUCCCUGAUAUUAGAUCCUUUUCUCUCUCACAGCAGUUUUAUGCAAAAUGCUGUCAAACAACAGUUUCUCUAUAAACAUAAUAUGACCUACAUGACAUCCAUGAAAUUCUGACUCUGAACUCACUACACAUAAAAAACAGCUUUCAUAUAACAGACCCCAACGGCAAAAAUUAUACUUACUAAUUUUGCAUUUACAUUGUAUUACAUACAAAACAGCAAAAUGCAAAAGAAAGGUGCUUGACUGAUAUCAGCUUGCUGUGCCCCAAAAACAGUGAAAUGUGUUGUCAUUAACAAACAUAAACAGGGUUCAGUCACUGUUCUUCUGUUUGAUGAAAUAUCUUUUCAUAACCUGUAAUGAUAAUAGUUUGACAGCCGACACAUUAUAAAUGAUGUCUAAUCA